rnacentral:ncRNA from 2 species
UACAUUCGCGCCGAUUUUGGUUUCUUAUUCUUUUUGAUCAUCAGAAUAUAGAAUUAAAAGGGAAUUUGGUGUAAAUCCAAAGCUGUCCCCGCAACUGUAAAACUUAUUUAAAGGCUUCAUUAAUAAAAACCACUGUAGCAAAACUAUGGGAAGGUAAAUGAUUGCUUGAGUUGAGUCAGGAUACCUGCCUAAAUCAAAAACAUAAU